UACAGAGGGUGCAAGCGUUGUUCGGAAUUAUUGGGCGUAAAGCGCGCGCAGGUGGUUCCUUAAGUCUGAUGUGAAAGCCCACGGCUCAACCGUGGAGGGUCAUUGGAAACUGGGGAACUUGAGUGCAGAAGAGGAAAGUGGAAUUCCAAGUGUAGCGGUGAAAUGCGUAGAGAUUUGGAGGAACACCAGUGGCGAAGGCGACUUUCUGGUCUGUAACUGACACUGAGGCGCGAAAGCGUGGGGAGCAAACAGG
rnacentral:rRNA from 1 species